UCUUAUUUGAGGCCUUGGGGUUUGGGGUGGGAGACUGAAGGUGGGGCUGUACUAUUUUCUACAACUGACUUGCCUUGCGUGUCAUCCAAGCACCAAGUUCUGUUCACAGAGGAAGUGAGAGGUGCCCAAUUUGGUCAUGCAGAACACAGCUAGGCUCCAUGAAACGAAACACAGUGGCUACUCCGAAGGAGGUGUCAGCCCUGGGCCGGUCCAGGGUUGAGUCACAGCAGACGCCACUCCCAUGUCAAGAAGAGCAGCUUGGCCCUCACUUAGGGCAUUUCCGCCCCACUCCCUGGAAUCUACAUUAAUGGAAAAAAGAAGGGAAAAGAGAGGAAAAUAAAAGAAGCCAAUACCAGAAUGACCAAGCAAGUUGAGCAAGACGAGGGUUGCCUGGUCAUAGCAGUGCCUGGUGUGGGUCACAGCAUCUGACCAGCCCCACCCAGCCAGGGUUAACCCCCACUGGGGCAUCUGAGCCUUGGGUACCUCCAGGACUUAUGAGCAAAUCUAGGUUGUGUGAGGCCAGAAGAUUUACAAUUUUGGGGCACUCUUUCAAAAGCAGAAUACCAAAUUACAAAAACAACAUGAAGUAUAAAAGUGAAUAUUCAGAUUAAGGGGGGAAAUCACAUCAAAUUGCUGACGUCACUACAGAUUUAGGUCUCUUUCUCAGAGGUCUCUUUAGGCAGUUUACCAGAAAUGCGUGCAUAAAAACGCUUCCUGUUUGUAACUUGGCUUCCUUUCCUUGCCUAGAAAACUUGACAGCUCCCAGCAUCUCUCACAGGGCCCUGGAAGCUUCCAUCUUAUCAGCUUUAUGAACACAGAGAUAUUCCUGGAAGGGAAAACUCAGCUGUCUGAGCCAGAAUUCGGCAACGACUGGCUCACGAAUGAGCACCAAGUGCAGGUGCGCUUCAAGACCCCAGAGGCCAAAUAAUCUCCACAGGAGCAACUGCGACAACCACAGUGACGACAGGCGCCAGGGGCAGCGGGAAGCCAAGAACCCAUCGAGGACCCUCCCUCAACCCCACAACGUGUGUGUACCAAGCCGGGUGGGCUCUGUAGAAGAGAAAGGCUCCAGCACUGGACUUUACAAAAUUUAUAGAUGAGGAACCAAGCGCCAAUGAUGAGAAGUAGCUGCUCAAGGUCACACUGCCAGCAAGUGGAGAAGUUGGGGUUUGAACCGGGGUUCAGACUCCUGGUAGAUCCAAGUGCAAGAUUAUGAAGAGUGAAAAAUCAACUCCUUAAAUCAAAGCAAAGCCUGAGAGAAUCACAGAAACACCCUGAGGAUCACAAUUCAGAUGCUAGAGAAAUGUAGUCAUUCUCAUGAUUUAUAAAUGGGGAAAUUUUCAAGAUUUUAUUUAAUUGUCAAAAUAGUAUCUGUUGGCAAUGCUCUAUUUCUCAACCUGGGAGGUGGACACUUGGGUGUUUCUUUGAGCUAAAUCAUUUCACCACAUUUGUUUUGUAUGCUUUCUCUGUGUUGUUGCAUUUCACAAUAAAAGGUUUAAAAAUAAGCCUGAGCUGCCCUAUGGAUGGAUGAUAUACAACCAUCUUCCCUUUAAAAAGUGGCCCAAUUUAGUAGUUCCCAAACCUGGCUGGCCAUUAGAAGCACAUGAGGAAACCUUUAAAAUGCAGAUUCCCACCCAAGACCUGGGGACUCAAAUUCCCUGGCUUGUAUCCUCAGAAAGCUCCCUGUGGUUCUACUGCUCAGUCAAGUUUGGGAACUCCAGGCCCCAAGUCCUUCGGCUCAGUUAAAACUGAUGUUUUCUGCGGAGUUGUUUCUUAUGGCCUCUUGAGAUGCUCAGAAUAAGCCUCGUGCCAGACAGAAGCCUGGUCAAUUCAACAAUGUUGUGUGUUCUGCUUUCCUGCCCUACACCCUGAACUCAGCUUUCUUCUGAACUUUUGAUCACUCUUUACCAUGGAACUAAGAAAAUAUAUACAUGUUAUAAGAAAAACCCUUUAGCUUAAACAUCAAAUGAACAUACAUCUGAUUCCUUUAGCCUAUCUCCCUCUUGAUACCUUCUGGGGAAAGACCCCAUGACACCCAGAGAAGAGACCUAUGUGGGGAGGUCAGAGGUUGGGUGGAGGCAGUCACAUCCAUGUGGGAUUCUACCAGCUCCUCCAUUCCUGAAAUUAACGUACUAGCAGUUAGUUCAUACACCUGCUAAGAAGGUACACUGGUCAGGGAAGGAGACAUUCCCCACAUUCUUCUUUAAUCUAGAGACAAUUGAGGAACCAUAGCAGCCAUGGCCACUCUUGGAAAGGAAGGGCAGGCAGAAGGGCUUAGGUGUGGGUUGAUGAUUCAGGAGAAGGAGAGAACACCACCCCCGUGUUCAAGAGCAAGACUCAUGGGGACCUUAAAGCAGCCAGCUUUGAGAGUAUCACUUUCCCUCAUUCUUUAUCCUAGAAAGAACACAAUCAAAAUACAGUUCCAUACGCUGCCCUUCCCCAAAAGAAAAAAGAAGGGAGCAGGAGUUUGGGACUUGCUUUGCAAUUUGAAUCUCAGGAAUGCAUAAGAAACAGCAGUUGCUGCCUUCUGAGCAAAGACGCUCUAUUGAAAUUUGACUCAUCCCUGGCAGUUUAUUGUGUUUUUUUUCCCCCUUCUUCCUUGUGACACAGAGGAGUGAGGUGAGUAAUGCCCUGCGCAGCAAGAGAAAAAUAGAGCCCCAAAUGCCUUCCAUUAUGCUAAAGGCCUAUGUCACCAGCUGUGGUGCAGGGGGUGUGGCCACCACCCAUUCGUAGGGGAAGAUUCAGAACAUCUGACUCCCUCUCUCCGAGGCUAUUUGUGGUUCUAAAAAUGGAACAAGCAGGGACUAAAAACUGAUAAACACAGAGAUGUUGAAAAGCCCUGCUGGGGGUCUUGUCGUAAGAGCUGAGGUGGUAGAGGGCCCUGGUAUGCAGGAGUUCCCAAGGCCACACAAAAGGAAAAUAGUUGGCCCAUUUUCUGUUGCUUAACACCUCCUUCCCCGCAGGGGUAAGAACGGCCUCUUCUUCCAAGAGUAAAAAUAGCUAAUAUUUACCGAGUGCCUGUUAUAAGGCAGGCAGCGAGCAAAGAAUUUUCCAGGGGUUAUGUAUGUCAUCUAGUAUGUAUACA